rfam:Actinobacteria bacterium RBG_13_35_12 RBG_13_scaffold_40836, whole genome shotgun sequence.
UUAUGAUGCUAAAGAUAUAACAGUUUUAGAGGGCCUUUCUGCAGUUAGAAAAAGGCCCAGUAUGUAUA